rnacentral:rRNA from 1 species
CAGCCGCCGCGGUAAUACGAAGGGUGCAAGCGUUACUCGGAAUUACUGGGCGUAAAGCGUGCGUAGGUGGUGGUUUAAGUCCGUUGUGAAAGCCCUGGGCUCAACCUGGGAAUUGCAGUGGAUACUGGAUCACUAGAGUGUGGUAGAGGAUAGUGGAAUUUCCGGUGUAGCAGUGAAAUGCGUAGAGAUCGGAAGGAACAUCUGUGGCGAAGGCGACUAUCUGGGCCAACACUGACACUGAGGCACGAAAGCGUGGGGAGCAAACAGGAUUAGAUACCCGCGUAGUCCCUGUCUCUUAUAC